rnacentral:lncRNA from 1 species
GCUGGAAUGGGGGCGUGGUCGUGCACGGUGCCGCGGACCAAUGGCAAGGUAAAUGGGCGGGGUGAUGAGAGCCACUGUCCUCCUCAGCACGCCAAGUUUCCAACUGAAAGGCGCGUGACUCUUGUGUAUGUGCGAGGGGAGGAGGCGUGGCCAGCCGGUACCCAAGAACCAGUCAAAGAUGAAAGCUGUAGGGAAGGGGACGGGGCCUUCAGUCCGGCUGCCAAUGGAAAGGAGCAGUCCGAGGGUGCGGCAAUCCCUGAGGGGGCUCGGUAGUAGAUCCCAGCUCCGAUCUUGGCGCGGUUGGAAUACUGUCCUGUGGAGCCAGGCCGCCGAUUUUCGCUGUACCGCCUUUCGGGCCCCCACCAGUGCUCAAAACCGGUGCAGAAAGGUCUCCCGCCCUGGGAACACGAGAAGCCGAACAGAGACGACUUAGGCUGCACAUAGCCUAAAAAGAAGUCAAGGCACUGGCCAUACCCCUGCCUCACUACUCAUUCACGCCACUCAGUGGGAAUAAGCGGCGGCAGAGUGGUCCCAGCACUGAUGCGGACCCGCUAUCUCGGUGCCUCUAGUUUUCGCUGCUGGCCGGACGCCCUCGGCUUACGGGCACCUGGCGCCACCUGCCGGUCUCAGGGUGCCUUGCAACACUUCCCAGGCCCGCCGCAUUCAAAGCCAAAAGGUGUUCAAGAGUUAAGGGUGGGGAAAUUACAGGGGCAGUCAAACUUUCUAGUCAAAGGAGUCCCCAUGUAGCCUGGAAAAUUACUGUAUAGAAUCCCUGGACUCCAUCCCAUAACAUACAAAAUGUGAAGGGCCUAGAAUCUGUACUUCUAAAAGGCACCCCCAUAAGUUUGGAGAAUAGAAGGGAGCGAACAUAAAAGCAGAGUUUUAAGUUCAUUCUUUUUGUUUCCAUACCCCCCCACCCCCCACCCCCCACCCCCGAUACUGGGUUUUGAACCCAGGAUCCUUGUGGUUUCUAAGCAAACACUCUAACACUGAGCUACAUCCUCGGGCCCAAGAACUUAUUCUUGUUUUUUUUUUUUUCAGUUGUCGAUGGAUUUUUUUUUCUUUUUUUUUUUUUUAUAAGUGGUGCUGAGGAUCAUCGCUGUACCACUGAGUUACAACCCCAGCCCCCAAGAACUUACUCUUAAUUACACGGACCAAACCCUGCUUAGUUCAUAGGUUACUCAGGAAAAAUAAUCUGGAGACUUCCUCAGGACUCCCAGGUCAUUGCACUUGGUGGUGGCAGAGUAGCACUUAACUGGUUUCUCACCCCCCCCACCCAGUUUAAACAUUGGAAAAAUAAUGGCUUCCCACCUUUUUUUUUUUUUUAAUUCCAUAAUAAGCACAUUGUCCUCUCUUUUUGUAAACACAUCAAAUGUUUCUGAUUAACUUCUGGUACAGUUAAUUUUUGUGAUAAAUGCAAUGGCCUCCUAACCAGUUUCUCCUCUUUUACACCUGUCCCCUUUUUCAAUACAAUAACCAGUGAUCCUGUUAAAUCAGGUCUUGUCACUCCCUUAUUUGAAACCCUCCCCUGACUCUCCAUCUCACUACAGUAAAAGCCAAAGGACCUACAAUGUCCUACAGGCUCCACAGGCUCAGCCCCUCACCCUACCUCUCUGACUUCUCAGGGCACUGCCCCAGCCAGGCUUUUCUCCUGGCCCCUCCUGUCACUCCAGGGAUAUCCCCUUGGGAGCCUUUGCACUUGCUGUUUGUUUCCUGUGCCUGGGACUCCAGUGUCACAUAACACUCCUUCAAGUCUUUGUGCAAAGGCCACCUGAUUUUAAACUUGUAAAAAACACUCCCAGUACUCCAUCUGGGUUUUAUUUUACUUCAAAGCAAAAAUCACUAAUAUUCUAUGUAAAUUGUUAAUUUUGUUGAUUAUCUGUCUCCUCCCAGUAGAACUUAAGCUGUCUCUGAGGGUAAAAAUUUUGUCUGUUUUGUUUACUGCUGUGUCUCUGGGGCCUAGAACAAUGAUAAGUAUUCAGAAUAAUAUGUGGAAAAUAUUAAAAAGUGAAAUAAUUUUAUUCUGA